UCUCGUCGUGGAAGGGGCACAGCCCCUUGAGGUUCCCGCCCCCGGCCGAACGCAGCGUCACGGUCUCGCUGAUCACAUCGGCGAUCGAGGU
rnacentral:tRNA from 1 species